rnacentral:rRNA from 1 species
AUUGAACGCUGGCGGCAGGCCUAACACAUGCAAGUCGAACGAGUGGCGGACGGGUUAGUAAUGUCUGGGAAACUGCCUGAUGGAGGGGGAUAACUACUGGAAACGGUAGCUAAUACAGCAUACCAUCGGAUGUGCCCAGAUGGGAUGAGCUAGUCGGUGGGGUAAAGGCUCACCUAGGCGACGCUCCCUAGCUGGUCUGAGAGGAUGACCAGCCCAACUGGAACUGAGACACGGGCCAGACGCCUACGGGAGUCAGCAGUGGGGAAUAUUGCACAAUGGGCGCAAGCCUGAUGCAGCCCUGCCGCGGGUAUGAAGAAGGCCUUCGGGUUGUAAAGUACUUUCAGCGGGGAGGCGUUACCCGCAGAAGAAGCACCGGCUAACUCCGUGCCAGCAGCCGCGGUAAUUC